rnacentral:rRNA from 1 species
UACGUAGGGCGCAAGCGUUGUCCGGAAUUAUUGGGCGUAAAGAGCUCGUAGGCGGUUCGUCACGUCGGCUGUGAAAACCUGGGGCUCAACUCCGGGCCUGCAGCCGAUACGGGCGAACUAGAAUUCGGUAGGGGAGACUGGAAUUCCUGGUGUAGCGGUGAAAUGCGCAGAUAUCAGGAGGAACACCGGUGGCGAAGGCGGGUCUCUGGGAAGUAACUGACGCUGAGAAGCGAAAGCAUGGGUAGCAAACAGG